CUCUACACCUCCUUGCUGUAAUGUUGCCAGUAAAACUGUAUAAAAGGAACCUGAGCCUGAAGGUUUCAGGCGGCACACCUUGGAAAUUCUACACAUGAUCUGGCUGAGGCUUGAUAACCUGACUGCCCUGAUGGGCACUGUGUUAGAAGCUGUGAACAAGCACAAGGAGGACGAUGACGACAACUUCCCCGUUCAGGAGCCACCCGCAAGCUAUGACACCUUCAUGGAAUCUAAGUGCCAACUACAGGCUAGCGAAGCCAUGAGAAAAAAAGCUGCUGGAAAGGGCAAAAGGGCAAGGCGAAAUUCCAACAGCUGCAGUGUGUUGAG